rnacentral:rRNA from 2 species
UACGUUCGAAGGACGCUAAUCCGCAUACGUCCUACGGGAGAAAGUGGGGGAUCUUCGGACCUCACGCUAUCAGAUGAGCCUAGGUCGGAUUAGCUAGUUGGUGAGGUAAAGGCUCACCAAGGCGACGAUCCGUAACUGGUCUGAGAGGAUGAUCAGUCACACUGGAACUGAGACACGGUCCAGACUCCUACGGGAGGCAGCAGUGGGGAAUAUUGGACAAUGGGCGAAAGCCUGAUCCAGCCAUGCCGCGUGUGUGAAGAAGGUCUUCGGAUUGUAAAGCACUUUAAGUUGGGAGGAAGGGCAGUAAGUUAAUACCUUGCUGUUUUGACGUUACCAACAGAAUAAGCACCGGCUAACUUCGUGCCAGCAGCCGCGGUAAUACGAAGGGUGCAAGCG